rnacentral:tRNA from 1 species
GCUAUUUUAGUUUAUUCAAAAUAUAUGAUUUGUAAUCAUGGGAUUCAUGUAGCU